CUCUCCCCCGACGCCUCUCCUCGUCCUCCACUCCCCACGUUUCCCCCAACCAACCCCGCCGCCACCGCCGACGCCGACGACCUCCUCUCCCCCAACCCCACCGCCGGCGCCCCCCACCUCACGCGUGGAUCCUCCUCCUUGUUGUGCCCUUGUGCCGACCCCAAACCCUAGCUAGGGGCCCCCUUCUCCGGGCGCAGCGCGGCGCAGGGAGGGCUCCCUCUUGCCCGCCGCCGAUGCAGAUGGCCCGCUGGAGGUCCUGCUACUUGCUCCUCCGACCCUCCUCCUGCUGCUGCUAGUGCAGACCGACGCCAUGGAGGCCGUGUGCAGGCGGGGAAGGACAGCGUGGCACGCCUGGUGCGUGAGCUCGAGGGCGUCGGCCUGCUCGUCGAGCGCGUCCGCGGCGUCCCCGCUGAGUUCAUCAAGAACUAUGAGGGGCUUAAGCAGGAGCAUGAUAAGAAGGUGGGGCUGCUGACGAAGCAGGAGGUGAGGGGUGUGGACUACCUCAAGAUGGAGAAGAACGGGAUGGAGAUGGAGAGCCUCGAGUCCAAGAUGCUGGUGGCCACCCAGUCCACCGACACCACCACCUCCGAGAUCAUCAGGCUCAGAGAAUCAGAGCUAUUCCCACAGCUACUUGAGCUGGUUGCUGGAGGUGAUCGACGCUGACUAGCACGGCCCGGUGGCGCUGUGCUCUUCAACCACUCGGAGACGGACUUCGCCGUGGAGCCUGGUUGCCAUGUCGCACAGAUGAUCGUCCAGGUGAUUUCGACGUCGGAGGUCGCCGAGGUGUGGAGGACCUUGACGCCACCGUCCGGGGGAGGGAGGAUUCGAGUCCACCGACGUCUGAACUCCGAGCCUAGGUAGAUACAUCUAGAGAAGUGGUCUGUUUAGGUUGGUGGUAGACCACUAGGGAAGGUACCCACCUUACGAUGAUGGUUGUGUGUGUCUGAUGUUAAAUCGAAUCUUGAGAUGGUUUUGUGACAUGUUAAAUGGAAUAUUGAGAUGGUUCAGUGACA